rnacentral:rRNA from 1 species
AGUGAACGCUGGCGGUAGGCCUAACACAUGCAAGUCGAACGGCAGCACAGUAAGAGCUUGCUCUUACGGGUGGCGAGUGGCGGACGGGUGAGGAAUACAUCGGAAUCUACUUUUUCGUGGGGGAUAACGUAGGGAAACUUACGCUAAUACCGCAUACGACCUACGGGUGAAAGCAGGGGAUCUUCGGACCUUUCGCGAUUGAAUGAGCCGAUGUCGGAUUAGCUAGUUGGCGGGGUAAAGGCACACCAAGGCGACGAUCCGUAGCUGGUCUGAGAGGAUGAUCAGCCACACUGGAACUGAGACACGGUCCAGACUCCUACGGGAGGCAGCAGUGGGGAAUAUUGGACAAUGGGCGCAAGCCUGAUGCAGCCAUGCCGCGUGAGUGAAGAAGGCCUUCGGGUUGUAAAGCCCAUUUGUUGGGAAAGAAAAGCAGCAGGUUAAUACCCCGCUGUUCUGACGGUACCCAAAGAAUAAGCACCGGCUAACUUCGUG